rnacentral:rRNA from 1 species
UACAGAGGGUGCGAGCGUUGUUCGGAAUUAUUGGGCGUAAAGGGCGCGUAGGCGGCUGGGUAAGUCAAAGGUGAAAUCCCUCGGCUCAACUGAGGAACUGCCUUUGAAACUGUCCAGCUCGAGGCCGGGAGGGGGUGGCGGAAUUCCCAGUGUAGCGGUGAAAUGCGUAGAUAUUGGGAGGAACACCAGUGGCGAAGGCGGCCACCUGGACCGGUUCUGACGCUGAUGCGCGAAAGCGUGGGUAGCAAACAGG